UUGGUUAAGUUAGAAAGGGCGCACGGUGGAUGCCUUGGCACUAGGAGCCGAAGAAGGACGGGACUAACACCGAUAUGCUUUGGGGAGCUGUACGUAAGCGUUGAUCCAGAGAUUUCCGAAUGGGGGAACCCACUAUCUUUAGUCGGAUAGUAUCCUUACGUGAAUACAUAGCGUGAGGAAGGCAGACCCAGGGAACUGAAACAUCUAAGUACCUGGAGGAAGAGAAAGAAAAAUCGAUUUCCUGAGUAGCGGCGAGCGAAACGGAAAGAGCCCAAACCAAGAAGCUUGCUUCUUGGGGUUGUAGGACACUCUAUACGGAGUUACAAAAGAAAGUUAUAAAUGAAGCGGUCUGGAAAGGCCCGCCAAAGACGGUAACAGCCCGGUAGUUGAAAUGGCUUUCCCUCCAGAGUGGAUCCUGAGUACGGCGGAACACGUGAAAUUCCGUCGGAAUCCGGGAGGACCAUCUCCCAAGGCUAAAUACUCCCUAGUGACCGAUAGUGAACCAGUACCGUGAGGGAAAGGUGAAAAGCACCCCGGAAGGGGAGUGAAACAGUUCCUGAAACCGUGUGCCUACAAGUAGUUAGAGCCCGUUAAUGGGUGAUAGCGUGCCUUUUGUAGAAUGAACCGGCGAGUUACGAUUUGUUGCAAGGUUAAGCGGAAAAAGCGGAGCCGUAGCGAAAGCGAGUCUGAAUAGGGCGCAUAAGUAACAGGUCGUAGACCCGAAACCAGGUGAUCUACCCAUGUCCAGGAUGAAGGUAAGGUAAUACUUACUGGAGGUCCGAACCCACGCACGUUGAAAAGUGCGGGGAUGAGGUGUGGGUAGCGGAGAAAUUCCAAUCGAACUUGGAGAUAGCUGGUUCUCUCCGAAAUAGCUUUAGGGCUAGCCUCGAGGUAAAGAGUCAUGGAGGUAGAGCACUGUUUGGACUAGGGGCCCUUCUCGGGUUACCGAAUUCAGAUAAACUCCGAAUGCCAUGUACUUAUACUCGGGAGUCAGACUGCGAGUGAUAAGAUCCGUAGUCGAAAGGGAAACAGCCCAGACCACCAGUUAAGGUCCCCAAAUAUAUGUUAAGUGGAAAAGGAUGUGGGGUUGCUUAGACAACCAGGAUGUUGGCUUAGAAGCAGCCACCAUUGAAAGAGUGCGUAAUAGCUCACUGGUCGAGUGACCCCGCGCCGAAAAUGUACCGGGGCUAAACAUAUUACCGAAACUGUGGAUGAACCUCUUUAGAGGUUCGUGGUAGGAGAGCGUUCUAAGGGCGGUGAAGUCAGACCGGAAGGACUGGUGGAGCGCUUAGAAGUGAGAAUGCCGGUAUGAGUAGCGAAAGAAGGGUGAGAAUCCCUUCCACCGAAUAUCUAAGGUUUCCUGAGGAAGGCUCGUCCGCUCAGGGUUAGUCGGGACCUAAGCCGAGGCCGAUAGGCGUAGGCGAUGGACAACAGGUAGAGAUUCCUGUACCAGUGCUAAUUGUUUAACCGAUGGGGUGACACAGAAGGAUAGGGAAUCGCACGAAUGGAAAUGUGCGUCCAAGCAGUGAGUGUGAGAAGUAGGCAAAUCCGCUUCUCGCGAAGCAUGAGCUGUGAUGGGGAAGGAAAUUAAGUACGGAAGUUCCUGAUUUCACGCUGUCAAGAAAAGCCUCUAGGAAGAGUAGUACUGCCCGUACCGCAAACCGACACAGGUAGAUGAGGAGAGAAUCCUAAGGUGAGCGAGAGAACUCUCGUUAAGGAACUCGGCAAAAUGACCCCGUAACUUCGGGAGAAGGGGUGCUCUAUUAGGGUGCAAGCCCGAGAGAGCCGCAGUGAANCUCUCGUUAAGGAACUCGGCAAAAUGACCCCGUAACUUCGGGAGAAGGGGUGCUCUAUUAGGGUGCAAGCCCGAGAGAGCCGCAGUGAAUAGGCCCAGGCGACUGUUUAGCAAAAACACAGGUCUCUGCAAAACCGUAAGGUGACGUAUAGGGGCUGACGCCUGCCCGGUGCUGGAAGGUUAAGAGGAGUGCUUAGCUUCGGCGAAGGUACGAAUUGAAGCCCCAGUAAACGGCGGCCGUAACUAUAACGGUCCUAAGGUAGCGAAAUUCCUUGUCGGGUAAGUUCCGACCCGCACGAAAGGCGCAACGAUCUGGGCACUGUCUCAACGAGAGACUCGGUGAAAUUAUAGUACCUGUGAAGAUGCAGGUUACCCGCGACAGGACGGAAAGACCCCGUGGAGCUUUACUGCAACCNAACGAGAGACUCGGUGAAAUUAUAGUACCUGUGAAGAUGCAGGUUACCCGCGACAGGACGGAAAGACCCCGUGGAGCUUUACUGCAACCUGAUAUGGAAUGUUUGUACCGCUUGUACAGGAUAGGUAGGAGCCGAAGAGACGUGUGCGCUAGCAUACGAGGAGGCAAUGGUGGGAUACUACCCUGGCUGUAUGACCAUUCUAACCCGCCACGCUUAGCGCGUGGGGAGACAGUGUCAGGUGGGCAGUUUGACUGGGGCGGUCGCCUCCUAAAGAGUAACGGAGGCGCCCAAAGGUUCCCUCAGAAUGGAUGGAAAUCAUUCGCAGAGUGUAAAGGCACAAGGGAGCUUGACUGCGAGACUGACAAGUCGAGCAGGGACGAAAGUCGGGCUUAGUGAUCCGGUGGUUCCGCAUGGAAGGGCCAUCGCUCAACGGAUAAAAGCUACCCCGGGGAUAACAGGCUUAUCUCCCCCAAGAGUCCACAUCGACGGGGAGGUUUGGCACCUCGAUGUCGGCUCGUCGCAUCCUGGGGCUGUAGUCGGUCCCAAGGGUUGGGCUGUUCGCCCAUUAAAGCGGCACGCGAGCUGGGUUCAGAACGUCGUGAGACAGUUCGGUCCCUAUCCGUCGCGGGCGCAGGAAAUUUGAGAGGAGCUGUCCUUAGUACGAGAGGACCGGGAUGGACACACCGCUGGUGUACCAGUUGUUCCGCCAGGAGCAUCGCUGGGUAGCUAUGUGUGGCAGGGAUAAACGCUGAAAGCAUCUAAGCGUGAAGCCCCCCUCAAGAUGAGAUUUCCCAUUUCUUCGGAAAGUAAGAUCCCUGAAAGAUGAUCAGGUAGAUAGGUUUGGAGUGGAAGUGUAGCGAUACAUGGAGCGGACAAAUACUAAUCGAUCGAGGACUUAACCAAAA
rnacentral:rRNA from 1 species